AGCAGCCGCGGUAAUUCCAGCUCCAAUAGCGUAUAUUAAAGUUGUUGCAGUUAAAAAGCUCGUAGUUGAAUUUCGGGAUUAAUAUGCUGGUCGUGCCAUUGGUACGUACUAGUAUUAUUGAUUUCUCCCUUCUGAUGAAUCAUGAUGUCAUUAAUUUGAUGUCAUGGGGAAUCAGGACUGUUACUUUGAAAAAUUAGAGUGUUUAAAGCAGGCUCGCGCUUGAAUACAUUAGCAUGGAAUAAUGAAAUAGGACGUUUGAUUCUAUUUUGUUGGUUUCUAGGAUUGACGUAAUGAUUAAUAGGGAUAGUUGGGGGCAUUAGUAUUCAAUUGUCAGAGGUGAAAUUCUUGGAUUUAUUGAAGACUAACUACUGCGAAAGCAUUUGCCAAGGAUGUUUUCAUUAAUCAAGAACGAAAGUUAGGGGAUCGAAGACGAUCAGAUACCGUCGUAGUCUUAACCAUAAACUAUGCCGACUAGGGAUCGGAUGAUGUUAAUUUUUAANGUA
rnacentral:rRNA from 1 species